CUGCAGUGGGCUGAGCAAGGGGAGAGGUGGCGGGACAUAUGGAGGCGACCAUAUGCUGAGAAGCCGUGAAGACCACAGUCUGGACUCUGUGCUGAGUGAGCUGAAAAGGAACUGAGGCCAAGAGAGGGAAGAUGACCUGCCACUCAUGGAGCAAAUGUCGGGCCAGGCACCGCUACAGAGCACACUCUGUGAAUUAGCCACAUCCUACAACCUCUGUCUUCUCUGAGAAAUGGAAGUUUACCCGGAGCUGGGGAAAGAAGGUAUAGGAAGAUUAAAGUGAAGACAUUCAUCAAGGAACAGAUCUGGCCAACCGCUCUCCAAAAUGAACCCGAAACAAAGCU